rnacentral:rRNA from 1 species
GAUGAACGCUAGCUACAGGCUUAACACAUGCAAGUCGCGGGGCAGCAUGGGGGUUGCUUGCAAUCCCCGAUGGCGACCGGCGCACGGGUGAGUAACGCGUAUCCAACCUGCCCUUCACCACGGGAUAACCCGGCGAAAGUCGGACUAAUACCGUAUGUUGUCCAUUGACGGCAUCCGAUUUGGACGCAGGGUUUGGCGGUGAAGGAUGGGGUUGCGUCCGAUUAGCUGGACGGCGGGGUGACGGCCCACCGUGGCGACGAUCGGUAGGGGUUCUGAGAGGGAGGUCCCCCACACUGGAACUGAGACACGGUCCAGACUCCUACGGGAGGCAGCAGUGAGGAAUAUUGGUCAAUGGGCGUAAGCCUGAACCAGCCAAGUAGCGUGCAGGAUGACGGCCCUAUGGGUGGUAAACUGCUUGUAUGCGGGGAUAAAGUGGCCCACGUGUGGGUUUUUGCAGGUACCGCAUGAAUAAGGACCGGCUAAUUCCGUG